rnacentral:rRNA from 1 species
CACGUAGGGUGCGAGCGUUGUUCGGAAUUACUGGGCGUAAAGAGCUCGUAGGCGGUUUGUUGCGUCGGCUGUGAAAUCCCGAGGCUCAACCUCGGGUCUGCAGUCGAUACGAGCAAACUAGAGUGUUGCAGGGGAGACUGGAAUUCCUGGUGUAGCGGUGAAAUGCGCAGAUAUCAGGAGGAACACCGGUGGCGAAGGCGGGUCUCUGGGCAACAACUGACGCUGAGGAGCGAAAGCGUGGGGAGCGAACAGG